rnacentral:rRNA from 1 species
UACGGAGGAUGCAAGCGUUAUCCGGAAUGAUUGGGCGUAAAGCGUCCGCAGGUGGCAAUUCAAGUCGAUUGUCAAAGGUCGUGGCUCAACCACGAACAGGCAGUGGAAACUGAACAGCUAGAGUGCGGUAGGGGUAGAGGGAAUUCCCGGUGUAGCGGUGAAAUGCGUAGAGAUCGGGAAGAACACCAGUGGCGAAAGCGCUCUACUAAGCCGCAACUGACACUCAGGGACGAAAGCUAGGGGAGCGAAUGGG